rnacentral:rRNA from 1 species
CCCUUAGAUGUUCUGGGCCGCACGCGUGCUACACUGACCGGUGCAACAAGUUUCUUUCCUUGGCUCGAUAGGCCUGGGUAAUCUUUGAACACCGGUCGUGAUGGGGAUAGAUCCUUGCAAUUUUUGAUCUUCAACGAGGAAUUCCUAGUAAAUGCGAGUCAUCAUCUCGCGUUGAUUACGUCCCUGCCCUUUGUACACACCGCCCGUCGCACCUACCGAUUGAAUGGUCCGGUGAAAUCUCGGGACGGCGGCUUGGUCGCUUGCGUCCGACUGCUGAAACUUGAUUAAACCAUAUCAUUUAGAGGAAGGUGAANUCGUAACA